rnacentral:tRNA from 1 species
GGGGAUGUGGGGUAACCUGGUUAGCCUGCGACCCUAGGGAGGUCGAGAUCCCGGUUCAAAUCCGGGCAUCCCCA